rnacentral:rRNA from 1 species
GAUGAACGCUGGCGGCGUGCUUAACACAUGCAAGUCGAACGGAAAGGCCCAAGCUUGCUUGGGUACUCGAGUGGCGAACGGGUGAGUAACACGUGGGUGAUCUGCCCUGCACUUCGGGAUAAGCCUGGGAAACUGGGUCUAAUACCGGAUAGGACGAUGGUUUGGAUGCCAUUGUGGAAAGUUUUUUCGGUGUGGGAUGAGCUCGCGGCCUAUCAGCUUGUUUGUGGGGUAAUGGCCUACCAAGGCGUCGACGGGUAGCCGGCCUGAGAGGGUGUACGGCCACAUUGGGACUGAGAUACGGCCCAGACUCCUACGGGAGGCAGCAGUGGGGAAUAUUGGACAAUGGGCGCAAGCCUGAUGCAGCGACGCCGCGUGGGGGAUGACGGCCUUCGGGUUGUAAACUCCUUUCGCUAGGGACGAAGCGUUUUUGUGACGGUACCUGGAGAAGAAGCACCGGCUAACUACGUG